rnacentral:lncRNA from 1 species
GCCGGGAGUGAUGCAGCGCGGCAGGGAGGGGCACAGAGGGCUGUGCCCUGCCCGCGGCCCCGCCUGCCGCACGUCGCUGAGCCGGCCGUGUACCCGUAGACACUCGGCGGUGCUCGGCGGUCCUCCGGGCAACCGGGGGCGCACCAGAGCGCUGCACCAUCUUCCCGGCGUGCUCCGCGCAGCAACGGUAGAUAAAGGGCUGGACCGGAAGUGGCUCUGGCUGUGCGCGUGUGUGCGUGCACGCGCGUGUGUGUCCGUGUCCGUGUGUGCGCGAGUGUGUGCGUGUGUGUGCGUGUGCGCGCGCGCGUGUGUCCGUAUGUGCGCGAGUGUGUGCGUGUGCGCGCGCGUGUGUGUGCGUCCGUGUGUGCGCGUGUCCGUAUGCGUGUGUGAGGCGCCAGCCACGCUCCCUCCCUACACGUUGAUCUUAUUCGAUCGGCCGGGCUCCGCCGGGCCGAGGUGAGAAGAAAGCGCCGCGAAGCCCUCGGGCGGUGUGCGGCUGGGCCGGGCGGGAUGAGUCGAUCAGAUAGGCGAGGCCACGGCCGCUGAGCGCCCUGCGAUUCUGACCCGCGCCCACGUCUGCAGCCCCAGGGCCGACACCGAGCCGCUCCCGACAGCGGCGGAAGACGAAACGUCCCAGCCUCAGCCCGGCGUAGUCAGCCGGCCCACAUGGGGAGGCGGGAAGUGCGCCCUGCCGCGGACUCGGUUGGCGGUUUGCAGGGCUCCGUGCUGGCCUUGCGGGGACACGCUCCGUGCCGUGCUGGCAGUGGUUCAGCGGGCCCUGCAGCUGUGUGCCGCACAAAGGCUGUACACGGGGCUGUGGUGGCACCGUGCCACGUGUGUGAGCUGGGCCCGGACCGUGCUGGCCCCGCGGGGCACCGGAGACUCUCAUUAGACUUACGAACUGCAUGCACCACGGCCUCUGUGUUUUACUGGGGGUGUGUGGUGGGGGUAGCCGUGGUGGUGACAAGAGGAUGGCCACAGGGGGACGACCAUGGUGAAGACUGGGGGAUGGCCAAGGUAAUAAGAGGGACAGCUAUGGUGCUGACAAAGCUCUGAUGGUAACCAGGGGACAGCCCCUGUGGAAACUGGAAAAGUACAGUUGUGCUGGUAACAAGAGGAUGGCCACGGUGAUAACAGGAGGACAGCUGUGGUGAUAGCAAGAGGACGGCCAUGGUUGUGACAAGGGGACAGUAAAGGUGGGUGACCGAGGGGUGGCUACAGUGUUGACAAGAGGAUGAGCCUGAGAGGACAGCCACAGAGGUGAAAAAGGGAUGGCUGUGGUGGUGACAAGGCUGUGGUGGUGAUGAGGGGACAGCAGUGAUUCUGGUGUUACUGGGAGAAGCAAUUGCGGUGGCUGCUGGUGGUGGCCAUGCUGUGGGGACACUCUAAGAGGAGGUCACCAGCUUAAUGGUGCCUGGCAGGCUUCAUCUGCCAGGUGACACUGUGGAUGCUGUGGGGCA